rnacentral:lncRNA from 1 species
GACCCCAUAUAUCUCCAUGACCCCAUAACCGCACAUCCCUGUGCCCCACACAUCCCUCUGACCCCAUAACCUUACAUCCCUGUGCCCCACACAUCCCUGUGACCCCAUAUAUCUCCAUGACCCCAUAAGCCCACAUCCCCGUGCCCCACACAUCCCCCCCAUUGCCCCCAUACCCCUCCGACUGCCCCCCAUAACCCCCCACCCCAUAACCCCCCACCCCAUUUCUCACCUGUCAGCACAGCCAGGCAGCCCAGCAGCAGUGGGGCCGCGGUGCCGCGCAUUAUGGGAUCAAUGGGAUCGCAGCGGGGCGGAUCCUAUGGGGAUCCCCACAACUUUGGGGUCCGACGGGGAUUUCCAACAGCUUCCAAUGGGGUCCGACUGGGAGCUCCAGAUAAUGGGAUCCGAUGGGGAUCUUCGGGUUAUGGGGUCCGAUCAGGAUCUCCAAUGGGGUCCAAUGGGGUCCAAUGGGGUCCAAUUAGGAUCUUCAGGUUAUGGGGUCCGAUUAGGAUCUCCAAUGGAGUCCAGUGGGAUGCAAUGGGGUCCAAUGGGAUCCAAUGGGGUCCAAUGGGGUCUGAUUAGGAUCUUCAGGUUAUGGGGUCCGAUUAGGAUCUACAGUGGGCUCCAAUUAGGAUCUUCAGGUUAUGGGGUCCGAUCAGGACCUCCAAUGGGGUCCAAUGGGGUCCAAUGGGAUCCAAUGGGGAUCUUCAGGUUAUGGGGUCCUAUCAGAAUCUCCAGUGGGGUCCAAUGGGAUGCAAUGGGGUCCAAUUAGGAUCUUCAGGUUAUGGGGUCCGAUCAGGAUCUCCAAUGGGAUCCAAU